GAUGAACGCUAGCGGGAGGCUUAAUACAUGCAAGUCGAACGGUAACAUGGAAGCUUGCUUCCGAUGACGAGUGGCGCACGGGUGAGUAACGCGUACGCAAUCUGCCCUUAAGAGGGGGAUAGCCCAGGGAAACUUGGAGUAAUCCGCCAUGUGAUUACGGAGUGGCAUCACUUUGUAAUUAAAACUACGGUGCUUAAGGAUGAGCGUGCGUUUGAUUAGUUAGUUGGUGAGGUAACGGCUCACCAAGACGAUGAUCAAUAGGGGGCGUGAGAGCGUGAUCCCCCACACGGGUACUGAGACACGGACCCGACUCCUACGGGAGGCAGCAGUAAGGAAUAUUGGACAAUGGGCGGAAGCCUGAUCCAGCCAUCCCGCGUGGAGGAUGACGGCCCUCUGGGUUGUAAACUCCUUUUAUAUACCAAGAAACGCCUUUACGUGUAAGGGUUUGACGGUAGUAUAUGAAUAAGCACCGGCUAACUCCG
rnacentral:rRNA from 1 species